GAGAGAAAGAGGGAGGGCGGGAGAGAGAGAGAGGGAGGGCAGAACGGAGGAAAAGUGAAGGGAAAAGGACAAGAGCAGCAGAAGAAGCGACACUGAGUCACACAGCAAGACAGGAAGUCUUACACGGAGACACCCUUCCUUCCUGUCAGCACCCCGAUCACCAACACUGGACACCAUUCAGUCUCACAUCACAUGACACAUGUGACAGGAAUUAUGGCGCAGCGCAAGUGUUGUGGCUGUGCUUGUUCCUGUAAUGAUAAAGCGUUGUGCCUAAAGUGGCCGCCUUCAGCGAAACUAGAAAUUAAAAGAAUCCAGUGGGUGAAGAUCGUCUUCCUAAGACAAGAUUUUACAAAAAUCACAAUAGCAAUAAAGCAUCUGUAACGACAUCACCCUCCAAAAUGUGGACUUCUGACUCGAGAUUCCCGUGUGACAGUUGUUUCUAUAUCCUUGUUUUUGCGCCACCAGAGAUUUUAUUUGGACUGCAUGUGAGAGGAAAAAAUGUAUUUGAAGUCUAAUGAUUGACUUUGCAACGGUACUUUAUCUCCUCAGAACAACCUCACUUAGAGCUGGAAACAGUUUUCUUGGCAAAAUGUAGAAAUGCUCAAGGACUGUGAAUACAUAAUCAGAAGUGCAAUUCACAGAAAUAGGCCUUAAUGUAAAAUUUUCAGAAAAUAAUAUUCAGGGAAUAAAAAUAAUAAAGUUCAGACCACUUGAAAUGAAAAGCAAACCAUUUUUUUCUAUGUCUGGCAUUAAAGCAGAUUAACUCUUUAGGUCAGCGAGAGUAACCAAAAGAUUUUUCAAAUUGUUAAACUCUAAAAAUGUUUCGUAAUGCGUUCUUUAAAGUCUGAAAUUUAGAAAGAUAUCCCUAAGCAUUACCUUCAAACUCCACGAGUUUAGGCAAAACAUUGGGGUAUCCUCUCACACAAUGUUUUUUUUUUUUUCAUAUGCAGACGACAAUUUGCUGGAUUUUUUUUUUUUGACCCAAUCCUCCGUAAACAACUGGUUGAUGCUUACAAGAAAACUCCAACAGGACACUGUGGAAACAUGGCGCCACCAAACAAUACGUUUUCAACCUUUUGGCAUCAAAAAUCACGACUUCCCGUCAGUUCGCUGCAAAAGGCCGCAUGUUGGUUGUCCACAGCGUGAGUGUAAUGUGGGUCAGUAGACUGAGGAAUCGGCGUCUCACAGGACACUUCCUCUUCCACAGCACAAUGCAGGAUAUGAGCAAUUUUCCCAAAGUCUGGCCUCAAAAAAAAAUCCUGAGAAAACGACACACUUUCAGAGGGUCACAUGUGGGGCAUCUGGAACAACUUUAUGAUAACUCAUGCCGUUAAAGUACAAUCCGUCCCCCCGAUGCAUUGCCAAAACUCUGGUCAACAUGAAAAAAAAAAAAAAAAAAGCCCAUAAAAACAUGGUUUCAUGUUGGUGAAAAUGAAACUAUGAGUCAUGCAGUCAUACCUAGGAGAUGCUGACAGUGAUUAGGCUGCAUGGACGCGUUUUGCGUCACUCAGGUUGUUGCUUUUAUCACACUUAUUUCCUGUAAGCGCCUUGACAGUGAGACAGAAACUGUGGCGCUCUGGGUGCGGCUGCUGUGUAGUUUUGUCGAGUGAACUGUGUGACCAGUCAGCUGUGCCACAUGCUGAUGUAGCUGAACACACUUCCUGUCAUGACCAAAUAUAAAGGGAGACAAAAAAUAAAAAGUGCUUUCUGGAUUACCAAAUGAGGAAUCGAUAUCAUUUGAAAAAUAAAUUCACGGGGAGAUAGGUUGUGAUUUGCCAUUUUAGUUUCAUCACCAUCAAUAUUAAGGAUUUUUAAGGCACCAAAUAAACCUUUAAAAGAAAAUAUUUGCGGUUUCUUUAGCAGGUUGUUCUCCUGCAGUGUUCUUUUUCUGCUCCCUGCUUUCUUUGGUUUAUAAAAAGGAAAUGUUGCGUAAACGUGUGUCAGGAGAGCAGCUCGGUGAUAAAUCUGGACUCUUGGGGUGAAAGAAAAAGGCUAAGGUAUAGAAACGGAAGAAGAGAGAAAAAAACGUCCAAAUUCAUCUAUUUUCUAUCCUCGGUUAUUCUUGCAGGGUUGCCAGGUUUGCUGGUGUCCAUCUCCAGCUGCGAUUGGACGAGAGACGGGAGAAGGACGCCGCUAAACCCCGUCCUCUCUCCUCCGGCCACAUUUACACCGGAUUGGCUGAGGUGAGGAGGAAACGGGGCCGGGGAAAACUGGAGCUGAAAGCUGAUAGCAAGUUACUUUUUCUGAGGCGCAUUUAAAGUCUCUGUUUGUUUAAAAGCCCCAAACACUGGAGAGCCGGGAUCAAAUAAUGAGUGAAGACAGAUUUCUCUCACCACAGGGGGGUUCAAGGUUCAAGGCCUUACUGACAUCAUUCACCCGGUCCUGCUGAAGCAGACAGAGCAAGACGCUGCUUUCCCCGAAGGAGUCAGCAGAGCAACAAUUGACAAAAAAAAAAAAAAAAAAAACUAUUUCAUUUGACAGACAUAGAUUUUAGAAAUAUAGAUGAUGCAGAACUGCUUUGUAUCAUUGAGUUAUCAGCUCUACAGCCACCUGGAAGUUUUUUUUUUUAUGUAAUUAUUCAUUUGUAAUUACAAAUGUAUUGAAACAGGAUUGAAAUCAGAUGUAAUUUCAAUCAUUACAGACAGAUAGAUCAAAUAAAGUCAACAAUUUAAUUUUAAGACUGAGCAGUAAAGUGGAUUAUGUAAGCGCACAGUGUUUCUUCUGUCGUGAAAAGAUGCAGAAUAGCCAAAACAACAGUGCAAAUGCAAUAAAAAUAAAAAUCAGGAACUGAUUCGAUUUUUAACUCUUUUUAGAGACUGAUACAUGAUGGUUAACAUCUGUAAUAAAUAACUAUAAAGCAACACUUUAUUUAAUUGGGUCUCGACUGCAUCCCAAUAGAGCUUUCUAAGAUCUGCAGCCAUGAGCUGAGCACACGUUUUGUUGUGUCUGUGUGAUUUAUAGACAGGAUGAACAACAUCACUUUAAAACAUGGCCCAAAAAAAAAGGAAAAAGCUCCAGCUGCUUGGAACAUAAAUAUUAAAUAAAUAUUAAAUAUAUAAGGGAUAACUCAACUUUUCCUUAGCGCUGUGACAUCUUAUUCUUGUAAUGAGGAACAGCUGUUAGUUUAAAAAAAAAAUAAAAAAACAUCUUUAUCAACAAAAUGAAACAGCUAUGGCACAACAAUAUGCAGCCAGGAAAUGGCUCAUGUGGGAAUAAGAUUUAUAUGUUUCAAAUUACUUUCUGCAGAGCCCAUCAGAUGCUGGUGUAGCUUGUGCCACAGUAAAAACAUGGAGUCUGCACACGACCGCACAUUUUCUCACUCUGUAGAAUGUAGCAGUAAUCAUCCAGUAAUGCUGCCUCUUACUUGGCAGGAUGAGACAUUUACAGAUUU